UACAGAGGUCCCAAGCGUUGUUCGGAUUUACUGGGCGUAAAGGGCGCGUAGGCGGCGCGGGCAGUCAACGGUGAAAGCUUGGGGCUCAACCCCGAGUCGGCCGUCGAUACUCCCGGGCUGGAGCACUGUAGAGGCAGGUGGAAUUCCGGGUGUAGCGGUGGAAUGCGUAGAGAUCCGGAAGAACACCGGUGGCGAAGGCGGCCUGCUGGGCAGUAGCUGACGCUGAGGCGCGACAGCGUGGGGAGCAAACAGG
rnacentral:rRNA from 1 species